rnacentral:SRP_RNA from 1 species
GCCAGGUGUGGUGGCUCAUGCCUGUAAUCCCAGCACUCUGGGAGGCUGAGGUGGGCGGAUCACCUGAGGUCAGGAGUUCAAGACCAGCCUGGCCAACAUGGUGAAACCCCAUCUCUA